AUAAAAUUGCAAUGGCAUACGGUACGUAUGUGUAAUUUCAAUGAUCUGGUAAUUUAAAAGAGGUUUUAAAGGCCUGGGUUAGCUAUUUACAAUAACCUCCAACUCUACGUCAUUUGGCAUUGGCAAUGAAUACGCGAUGCACUCAUUCACAUACAUGUAUUCACUAUGUUUGUCGAUGUGUGAAGUGUUAGGAACUAUAAACAUGCAAAUUAGACAGAGAGCGUGGAGAGCGAUUUCCGGACCAAGUCAACUAAUCGCAGUCUGUGUGCCAAGUAUUUGCUCUGCCUUCGGUGAUUUAGCAUCUUUGU
ensembl:ncRNA lncRNA:CR44773 long non-coding RNA:CR44773